rnacentral:lncRNA from 1 species
AGGUUGUUGAUUUUUUAAAAGCAUUUGUGUCCUCUACUCCUUGAACAUCAGCUCCUUAAGGACAGGAGACCCUGUCUGUCUGAGGAGUUACAGCCUGCCGCCUACUGAAUUCACAUGGUGGAGUCUUGGUAAAGCUGGAGUCUGAACGCAGAAAGUUCUCAAGUUUUCCAUGCCUGCUCAGGAAAAGGAGCAAAGCAUCAAUUGUGCAGACAAGGGAUCAAUAUUCCUUCUCCCAUGGGCUAAGUAACCUCCAGGGACCCUUGGACUGCUGGUCUCCGUCUGUGUCUCUGGGAGUCAGGCUGAUGGAACUGCUGUAAUAUGUAAAACACAAAGAAAUAUGAAAGGAUCCCUCAGGAACUUUAACUUCCUAUAUUGGUGAAAAAUGCUUCAAAGUUAGCAAAAGACCAACUUCUAGAGCCUUUGGAAUAUUUUUGAAGGCAAGAGCUUAUGUGAUAUCAGAUGCUGUAAAUUCUUAGCUCACGUCUACAACAGUAUGCUUUCAAUAAACGUUUUCUCUUGCUG